rnacentral:lncRNA from 1 species
GAGAUACCAGGACUGGCCCAGGGUCUGAGGAGGACACGGGGCCGGUGCAGACUUACCUGGCCUGGAGGCUUCUGGCCACCUUCAGCUUUGUCUUUCUCCAUUCCUUAGAAAGCCGUGUGCUGGCCAUUAAGCUUUCAAGGAGGCACCAGCACCUGCCCUGUUUCAGCUGACUGCUUGCAGCACGGGGGUACGGAAGAUGAAGGCCACCUUGGGACGUAGAGCUGCAGGCCUCCCGCCCUGCUGCGGGACUCGAGCAAGGCCGUCACUUCUCUGAGGGGCACCUCACACACGCCAGGGCCAGCAGUGAGGCCCAGGCUGAUGGCUGUGGCUGGACAAAGCGCUGUCGUGCUAAAGUCUCUUCUUCACACAUUCAUCACUGCUGGCGGCUCCCAGGGGGCAGAGGGGCCCCGCGCCUCAGGCAUCCCCCAUCAAACCCCUCAAAGCGUUUUGGGGAGGUGCCCAGUGCCACAGGCAGGUGGCCCCGCUGAGGAGAGGGCUGCCAGGACCCUGCUGAGGUGGGCACAGCCGUGCUGAGGAGAUGGAUGCCAACGGCAGCGUGGGGAGACGGCCACCAGCGGGCCCUGAGGAGAUGGGUGCUGCCCUGCUGAGGAAAUGGCCGCCAGCGCGCUGAGGAGAUGGCCCCCAGGGCCCGCUGAGGAAAUGGACACUGUUUUCUUGAGGUAAACAGACGCCCCUGUGGGAAAAUGGCCCCCAGGGCCUGCUGAGGAGGAGGCUAACAGGGCCCUGCUGAGGAAAUGGGUGCCAGUGGCCCCCUGAGGAGAUGACCAGCAGGGCCCUCCUGAGGCGGGUGCUGCCAUGUUGAGGAGGUGGAUGCCAACAGCCUGCUGGGGAAAUGGCCACCAGGGCCUGCUGAGGAGAUGGGCACUGCCCUGCUGAAGAAAUGCUCCUCUGGAGAGAUGGCCGCCGGGUCUCAGCUGAGGAAAUGACUGCUGAUGCCCCACUGAGGAAAUGGCCACCAGUGCAGCGGGAAGAAGACACCAGGACACUUGAGGAAGUUACUGUGGGAGUAUACAAGUCAGGGAUUGCUGCAGGAAGUUCUCUUGGCUGGAAUUCAGGAGGCCAGACUAGCUUCAGAGAUGAGAUUAGAACUUGCAGAUUCCUGGCACCUUGUCCAUGCUGAGUCCACAGGCAAUUUAACUUCUACAGCAUUUACUGUGCUAAUGCAUGGAACAUGGUAAGUGUUUUAAUAUUACUAUUCCAGACUUCUCUUUCCCCAUUUUAAAUACUUUGAAUCUGCUGGUAUGGACCCCAAAUAACUGAUGGGGGAAAAACAUUUGCCGUGAUAGAAAGAAGUAUCAUUUAUUGCAAAUUCCAAAUCAGUGAGUAACUGGCUACCUGUUCUGUGACACACCACAGGGUGAGCUUAGGACAAAAGAAUGUUCAUAUUAUGUCUUUUUAUGCAACUUGGGAUGUCAGUAGUCAUUUGAAUGAAGUUGUCUGCCUUGCCUUAAAAACAGGCAGUGGAACUGUUUAAUGUGAAACCUGGGAUUGAAUUGUAAAAUGUGUCAAAAAUAGUACAAGAGCUACUAUAACUU